UGGGGAAUCUUGCGCAAUGCGCGAAAGCGUGACGCAGCAACGCCGCGUGGGGGAAGAAGGCUUUCGGGUUGUAAACCCCUUUCAGUUGGGACGAAGCUUCGUCGGUUAAUAGCCGGCUGGAGUGACGGUACCUUCACAAGAAGCACCGGCUAACUACGUGCCAGCAGCCGCGGUAAUACGUAGGGUGCAAGCGUUGUCCGGAAUUAUUGGGCGUAAAGAGCGUGUAGGCGGUCAGAUAAGUCUGCUGUGAAAGUCCAGGGCUCAACCCUGGAAUGCCGGUGGAUACUGUCGGACUAGAGUCCGGAAGGGGCGAGUGGAAUUCCUGGUGUAGCGGUGAAAUGCGCAGAUAUCAGGAGGAACACCAAUGGCGAAGGCAGCUCGCUGGGACGUGACUGACGCUGAGACGCGAAAGCGUGGGGAGCAAACAGGAUUAGAUACCCGCGUAGUCC
rnacentral:rRNA from 1 species